rnacentral:tRNA from 1 species
GGAAGGUUGCUCAGUGGUAGAGUGCUUGCCUGGCACGUGUGAGGCCCUGGGUUCAAUCCCCAGCACCA